AUGGUGAAUGGAUGGAAAGAGAGAACUCUCUCAUUCGGAGGCAAAGAGGCUUUACUGAAAGCGGUGGCCCAAGCCAUCCCAACUUAUGCGAUGGGCGUAUUUAAAUUCCCGAAUAAAAUUUGCAAGGGAAUCACUGAUGCAAUGUCGCAAUAUUGGUGGGGUGAUGAGGAGGACCAACGAAGGAUGCAUUGGUUUGCAUGGUGGAAGAUGUGUAUUCCGAAGGAGAGAGGAGGUAUGGGAUUCCGGGAUAUUCAUAGCUUUAACUUGGCAAUGUUGGCGAAGCAGUGUUGGAGACUAAUUGAGAACUUUGGUUCAUUAUGUGCACGAGUUCUCAGAGCCAAGUACUACCCUACAGGAGAUAUUCUGAAUUGUCAACUGAAGAAGGGGUCAUCCUAUGUGUGGCAAAGCAUUUAG
rnacentral:rRNA from 1 species